GUAAUAUAUCUAGCAGACACAUGGAGAUAGUAUAACUAUUAGUAAAUAUUUAAAAGAUGACUACAUGUUGAACUUAUUCUUUAUGGCUUGUCUUGGUAGAAAUAAUAUAAUCUCAAGGAGCAAAAUUUCUAUUCAAUAUGGAGAAGAAUUUAUAACAAGUGGAAUGGGUUGCUUGAAGAGAAAAGUAGAUUAGAGCUGUACAUUCAAAAUUGUGCUAGAUUCAGAUGCAGCGGAAUAUGGAGGGCAUCAGAGACUGGACCACAGCACUGACUUUUUUUCUGAGGCUUUUGAACAUAAUGGGCGUCCCUAUUCUCUUUUGGUGUACAUUCCAAGCAGAGUGGCCCUCAUCCUUCAGAAUGUGGAUCUGCCGAAUUGAAGAGGCCUGAUUUCAGCUCCACCAGAUGCAGAUUUGUGUUUUGUUUUCUUGUUAUCACUGUCACACAGCUUAUAACAUGUAUGCUUUUCAGAAUACAGUUGUCUAGCCAAGCCAUCAAGUGUCUGAAAUUCAAUAUUGGUUUAUGCAAAUACAGCAAACUUUUAUUUAAGUAGAUGGGAGAAUAUGUUUAAAAUAUUAGGAAUCCUAGACCAUAUUUUCAAGUCAUCUUAGCAGCUAGGAUUCUCAAAUGGAAGUGUUAUAUAUAAUAUGUUAAAAACAUUUUGCUUUCCUGGCUAAUUAUUUGAUCCUUUUAAAUUCAAAUUUGAAUCAUUUGUCAUGUAUGAUUAUUUCUGUUAAAUGUACACAGUAUUUAAGAUGGAUAUUUGGUGGCUCUAUUUGUUCUGAUAUCUUUUGGUCUAAAUUAUGAGGUACCAAGAUUGUUUCUUUGUUUCUUUUUUUCAAAUUGUGUUUAGAAAUACUGUAAUAAAUAUGCAGUAGUGAUAUAAAGAAUUAUAUCCAAGGUAAUAUAAAAGCCAUUACGUAUGAACUCAUCCGUGUCUCAUUUUGUGUUUUAUUUUGUGAUCUCUUGUCCACUAAGUAUCUUGUUAAAUGCCAGUAUCUCAGUCUUUCUGAAGCCCUGAAAUGGUAAUUGUAGCAUUUCAGAAAAUGUCUUUCAUUUCAAUCAAUAAAAAGCUUUUGUAAAAUUG
rnacentral:lncRNA from 10 species